UACGUAGGUGGCAAGCGUUAUCCGGAAUUACUGGGCGUAAAGCGCACGCAGGCGGUCUCUUAAGUUUGACGUGAAAGCUCCCGGCUUAACUGGGAGAGGUCGUUGAAUACUGGGGGACUUGAGGCAAUGAGAGGGGUGUAGAAUUCCCGGUGUAGUGGUGGAAUGCGUAGAUAUCGGGGGGAAUACCAGUGGCGAAAGCGGCACCCUAGCGUUGUUCUGACGCUCAUGUGCGAAAGCGUGGGGAGCGAACGGG
rnacentral:rRNA from 1 species